GUAAAAAUUUUAUAAGAAUAUGAUGUUGGUUCAGAUUAAGCGCUAAAUAAGGACAUGACACAUGCGAAUCAUACGUUUAUUAUUGAUAAGAUAAUAAAUAUGUGGUGUAAACGUGAGUAAUUUUAUUAGGAAUUAAUGAACUAUAGAAUAAGCUAAAUACUUAAUAUAUUAUUAUAUAAAAAUAAUUUAUAUAAUAAAAAGGAUAUAUAUAUAAUAUAUAUUUAUCUAUAGUCAAGCCAAUAAUGGUUUAGGUAGUAGGUUUAUUAAGAGUUAAACCUAGCCAACGAUCCAUAAUCGAUAAUGAAAGUUAGAACGAUCACGUUGACUCUGAAAUAUAGUCAAUAUCUAUAAGAUACAGCAGUGAGGAAUAUUGGACAAUGAUCGAAAGAUUGAUCCAGUUACUUAUUAGGAUGAUAUAUAAAAAUAUUUUUAUUUUAUUUAUAAAUAUUAAAUAUUUAUAAUAAUAAUAAUAUAUAUAUAUAUAAAUUGAUUAAAAAUAAAAUCCAUAAAUAAUUAAAAUAAUGAUAUUAAUUACCAUAUAUAUUUUUAUAUGGAUAUAUAUAUUAAUAAUAAAAUUAAUUUAUUAUUAUUAAUAAUAUAUUUUAAUAGUCCUGACUAAUAUUUGUGCCAGCAGUCGCGGUAACACAAAGAGGGCGAGCGUUAAUCAUAAUGGUUUAAAGGAUCCGUAGAAUGAAUUAUAUAUUAUAAUUUAGAGUUAAUAAAAUAUAAUUAAAGAAUUAUAAUAGUAAAGAUGAAAUAAUAAUAAUAAUUAUAAGACUAAUAUAUGUGAAAAUAUUAAUUAAAUAUUAACUGACAUUGAGGGAUUAAAACUAGAGUAGCGAAACGGAUUCGAUACCCGUGUAGUUCUAGUAGUAAACUAUGAAUACAAUUAUUUAUAAUAUAUAUUAUAUAUAAAUAAUAAAUGAAAAUGAAAGUAUUCCACCUGAAGAGUACGUUAGCAAUAAUGAAACUCAAAACAAUAGACGGUUACAGACUUAAGCAGUGGAGCAUGUUAUUUAAUUCGAUAAUCCACGACUAACCUUACCAUAUUUUGAAUAUUAUAAUAAUUAUUAUAAUUAUUAUAUUACAGGCGUUACAUUGUUGUCUUUAGUUCGUGCUGCAAAGUUUUAGAUUAAGUUCAUAAACGAACAAAACUCCAUAUAUAUAAUUUUAAUUAUAUAUAAUUUUAUAUUAUUUAUUAAUAUAAAGAAAGGAAUUAAGACAAAUCAUAAUGAUCCUUAUAAUAUGGGUAAUAGACGUGCUAUAAUAAAAUGAUAAUAAAAUUAUAUAAAAUAUAUUUAAUUAUAUUUAAUUAAUAAUAUAAAACAUUUUAAUUUUUAAUAUAUUUUUUUAUUAUAUAUUAAUAUGAAUUAUAAUCUGAAAUUCGAUUAUAUGAAAAAAGAAUUGCUAGUAAUACGUAAAUUAGUAUGUUACGGUGAAUAUUCUAACUGUUUCGCACUAAUCACUCAUCACGCGUUGAAACAUAUUAUUAUCUUAUUAUUUAUAUAAUAUUUUUUAAUAAAUAUUAAUAAUUAUUAAUUUAUAUUUAUUUAUAUCAGAAAUAAUAUGAAUUAAUGCGAAGUUGAAAUACAGUUACCGUAGGGGAACCUGCGGUGGGCUUAUAAAUAUCUUAAAUAUUCUUACA
rnacentral:ncRNA from 3 species